UUUCGCAAUUCCCGAAAGGGUGACGGAGUGACGCCGCGUGGAGGAUGAAGGCCUUCGGGUCGUAAACUCCUGUCACACGGGAAGAAAACUGUCGGGGAUAACAUUCCUGGCACGUGACGUUACCGUGAGAGGAAGCGCCGGCAAACUUCGUGCCAGCAGCUGCGGUAAUACGAAGAGCCCUCCUGCACUUAAGAAUCACAUUUUCAAAAGCAGUUCCAACAGGGGGAAUAAAUCAUCACCAAAUCCCAUCCCCCAAUGUACGUGCCCCCAAGCCCAGUGAUUCCGAACAACAGGAGGGGUGAUCGGAACUCCGCAGGGAGCGGCGAAAAGUGUACAGAUCAUUCGUAUCGCCGGAGGCUCACGCGCCUGUAAGGUUAUCCCCGGCAGUUUUCUUCCGAGAGACAGGGAGCAAAAACGAUUAGCCUUCCUCGUAGUCCUAGGCGUAAACGAGGGACCCUAAGUAGCGGGGUUAAA
rnacentral:rRNA from 1 species